rnacentral:rRNA from 1 species
UACGUAGGGAGCGAGCGUUGUCCGGAUUCAUUGGGCGUAAAGAGUUCGUAGGCGGCUUGGCAAGUCGGGUGUGAAAACUCCAGGCUCAACCUGGGACACCACCCGAUACUGCGUCUGGCUCGAGAUGUCCGGGGUAGGGGAGGACGUUCGGGAAUUCCUGGUGGUAGGCGGUAGAAAUGCGCAGAUAUCAGGGAGGGAACACCCAGCGGCGAAGGCGGCGCUCUGGGCCGGUACUGACACUGAGGAGCGAAAGCGUGGGUAGCAAACAGG